UAUCAAUACUCAGGUCACAGCCUCCCUUCUUCCUCUCUCAGGCUACAAUGAUGACAUCCUUUAUUUCAGCAUAAAUAUUCAGGUCAGCCAGUCCAGUGACACGGAAGGCUUUAAUCUGGCAUUCUAAUGCCUCAAAAAAGAAACUAAGAUACAAGAUUCAGUGUGGUGGUCAUAACUCACUGAUGUCCCAAUUCUGCACUACCACCUCUGCAAGAGGACAUGAGAAGCUAUAGUGCAUUUUGGGAGGAAAUGCAAAUGAUCACAAAGACUUACAUGAUGUGAGAAUACUGGGUACUUGGGGAGGUCUAUAUUCAGGGAAAUUGUCCAUCUCUAGUCUGGACAUUGUCACCACCCCCAAGAGAAACACAUGCAAAUUCCUCAUUCACUUCCAUUGCACACCCUCCUCAGAUCCUGCUUUCUGCCUUUGUGGGUCUGUCUAUCCAAUGUGUCAUCGGGCUGUAAGUGUCACUGUGUGUCCCACUCUUUCACUGAGCACCUUUCAAAGCCCACCCAUAUGUUAAUACAUGACAAUGUUUUGUGUAUAAUCAUAUUUUCUCGCUUCAUGUCAAUACUUUAGCUGUUUCUGAGAUCCAGAAACCAAUGUGUAAAACAGGAGACAAGGAUUCCCCUGAUGAGACUUCAUAAACAAGCGGUGUUUUGCCAGCACACGAUGAGAACCACUGUGGGAAGAGGCCCUGUGCAACAGCCAAAGGGUUGAGGGGAAGUCAGCAAAAGAGAACCCAGCAUGGACCUGGCAGCCAAGGCACUGGAAGAAGUCACUUCAUGGGACUUAACAGUUUCAUCACAGAUAAUUCCCAAGGAACCCAGGAGGAACUUACAGAUAGUCCAUUAUGAUAUGUGUGAAAUCUUCAGAUCAUCAUAAUCAGGGGAAGAAAAAAGAAACAAGAUCCCUGAAUGAAGAAGAACCCAUUUUACAGAACACAGGACAGAUCUUGGAGGACAGUGGAUGUAGUGGAGUGACCUUGCCUGCUCACAGAGGAAGAGGAUCCAAGCAGUCCUGAUGAGACUUAAUAGGCUAGAGCCAAAAGGCAAGGGAGGAAGACUUCCCCUUUCAGUGGACUAGGGGAGGGGGUGGGGGAAUAGGAAGGGAGAGGAAGAAGAUGAGGGAGGGGGAUAAAAUCAGGAUAUAAAGUGAAUAGAAAAGAAGGAGGAGAAGGAGAGAAAGAGAAAGAAAGAGAGAGAAAGAAAGAAAGAAAGAAAGAAAGAAAGAAAGAAAGAAUCCAGACCAAGACACAGACCCUGCACGCCAGCUUCUCCAUUUAGUAGAAGAGACCCCAGCUCUCCGGGAACAGUUUUAUGGUUUCCCAUAUGGGAUAAGAACCCUGGAUCUUCAGGUCUGGAGCUCAUGGAAACAGCUGAGAAUAUGUCUUUUGAUUUUUUUAUUAAAUUUUUUAUUUUUUACAUUAAUUACAUUUUAUUCACUUUGCAUCCCACCUGUAGCCUCUUCCCUCAUUCCCUCCCAAUCCUACCCUCCCUCCCUCAUCUCCUCCCAUGCCCCUCUCUAAGUACACUAAUAGGGGAAGUCCUCCUUCCCUUCCAUCUGACCCUAGCUUAUCAGAUCUCAUCAGAACUGGCUGCAAUGUCCUCUUCUGUGGCCUGACAAGGCUGUUCCUCCUUCAGAGGGUGGGGGGGGAUUAAAGAGCCAGCCACUGAGUUCAUGUCAGAGACAGUCCCUGUUCCCCUUACUAAGGAACCCACUUGGAUACUGAGCUGCCAUGGGCUACAUCCAAGCAGGGGUUCUAGGUUAUAUCCAUGAAUGGUCCUUGGUUGGAGAAUCGGUCUCAGAAGAUACCUCUGCGCCCAGAUAUAUUUGGUCCUUGUGGAGCUCCUGUCCUCUCCAGAUCUUACUAACUCCCCCUUCUUUCAUAUGACUCCCUGCACUUUGCCCAAGGUUUGGUUAUGAGUCUCAGCAGCUGCUUUGAUACACUGAUGUCUUUUGAUUCUAAGAUUUUUCUUUCCUUUGCAUUGUGGAAGAAGGUUCCUGAUACAUGUCUUCAAGGGAAAACCUCUAUUCAGUAGCUAGUUAUAAAAUGCUGAUCCUGCUCUCCAUCCAUUCAUUUGCUUGUGUAUUUUUGCUCUUUUACUAGGCAACUACUGUGUCAGGUGUGGAGGUCAUGUUGGGUUACAAAGGCAAGAAAGCAGACUCUGUGUCCACUAUUUUCAGCUGAGGGCAGAUUUGGAUGAGUUGGCAUGGGGUAUA